GACAAUGUUUGUAUGACGAUUUAUUUGUACAGAAGCAAGAAGAAUGGUACCUUACAAGAAAGGAUAUUUCCUACUUUAUUUUACUCCCUUGUCCAUAUAUACCUUGGGGAAUUUAUAGCAUUUUGCUAUCGUUAAUUGUGAAGGAUUAAUACCAUUUCAUUUCCACUUAUGUCUUGUUUUUUUGUUUUUUUUGUUUUAGUACAAGCGAUUGGGGAGGGUGUUUACACACAAAUAUUCAUUGGGUGUUUUGGGAUUUUGAUUAAUGUAGUGAUAUGGGUAAGAAGAAUUUUUUUUUUAGAAUAAGCGACAGUUUUUUAUUGAUAAACAUAAUAAAGUACAAAGCAACGAUGUGCCGAAUAGGAUAAAUCUUCUCCGGUGACCCAAACGAAAUAACAUGUUGAUUUGAUCUGGAGAGAAUCACGCACAACCCAAAGAUAACUAAAAUCCCCAAUUCAACAACUAGAAGUACAAAUACUCAAACCUGAAAUACAUAUCCGUCGCGCAACGGCAGAAAUAACAAAUCGGUAUCGAAAAGCCAAAGCUAAAUAGAAAUAAAAUAACUUAAAGAUAAGACAAACUACAGCAAACUCCGAACGAGUUCCUGAGAAUUAUUAGACUUGAACAAACUAAAAAGCAUGACCACC
rnacentral:lncRNA from 1 species